UACGUAGGUGGCAAGCGUUGUCCGGAUUUACUGGGCGUAAAGAGCGCGCAGGCGGUCGAUUUAGUCGCGUGUGAAAGCCCCCGGCUCAACGGGGAGGUCACGCGAUACUGAUCGACUCGAAGGCAGGAGAGGGUAGUGGAAUUCCCGGUGUAGUGGUGAAAUGCGUAGAUAUCGGGAGAACACCAGUGGCGAAGGCGACUACCUGGCCUGUUCUUGACGCUGAGGCGCGAAAGCUAGGGGAGCAAACGGG
rnacentral:rRNA from 1 species